rnacentral:rRNA from 1 species
AUUGAAUCUGCCCGUGCAGAAGCGGGUAUAUAAAUACAAGACGAGAAGACCCUUUGGAGCUUAGAUAAAAAUCAACUAUGUCAAAUAUUUACUAAAUAAAACUAAAUAGUAACUGAUCAUAAUCUUCGGUUGUGCGACACGGGCCAAUUCAAGCCGAUAAAAAAGAACAAGUUACCCUAGGGAUAACAGCGCAAUCCCCAAGUCCAAGAGUUCAUAUCGACAAGGGGGUUGGUACGACCUCGAUGUUGGAUCAGGACAUCCUAAUGGUGCAGCCGCUAUUAAGGGUUCGUUUGUUCAACGAUUAAAGUCCUACGUGAUCUGAGUUCAGAC